UUCAAGUUCGAUAGCACGUUG
ensembl:piRNA 21ur-6381 ncRNA